AACGAACGCUGGCGGCAUGCCUAACACAUGCAAGUCGAACGAGACCUUCGGGUUUAGUGGCUAAUGGGUGCGUAACGCGUGGGAACCUGCCCUUAGGUUCUGAAUAACUCCCCGAAAUAGGUGCUAAUAACUGGUAAUGUCUUCGGAUCAAAGAUUUAUCGCCUUUGGAUGGGCCCGCGUUGGAUUAGCUAGUUGGUAGGGUAAAAGCCUACAAAGGCGACGAUCCAUAGCUGGUGUGAGAGGAUGAUCAGCCACACUGGGACUGAGACACGGCCCAGACUCCUACGGGAGGCAGCAGUGGGGAAUAUUGGGCAAUGGGCGAAAGCCUGAGCCAGCAAUGCCGCGUGAGUGAUGAAGGCCUUAGGGUUGUAAAGCUCUUUUACCCGGGAUGAUAAUGACAGUACCGGGAGAAUAAGCUCCGGCUAACUCCGUG
rnacentral:rRNA from 1 species